rnacentral:tRNA from 1 species
GGAGAGAUGGCAGAGUUGGUUUAAUGCACCUGAUUCGAAAUCAGACGUACUGUAACGGGUACCGGGGGUUCGAAUCCCUCUCUCUCCG